AUCGCUUCUCGGCCUUUUGGCUAAGAUCAAGUGAAGAAACUGUAUAUUCAAAUUUAUACUUCCUAAUUGUUUGGAGAUCUAGAAAGGAGCUAAAUAUAUAACUCUACUUUUUCUCUUUUUUGGUACCAGAGAUUGAACUCAGAACCUUGCACUUGCAAGCAGGCAGCAGAACCACUGAGCUAAAU
rfam:Fukomys damarensis contig157182, whole genome shotgun sequence.